GAAAUGCGAUACGUAGUGUGAAUUGCAGAAUUCAGUGAAUCAUCGAAUCUUUGAACGCACAUUGCGCCCUUUGGUAUUCCAAAGGGCAUGCCUGUUCGAGCGUCAUUUGUACCCUCAAGCUUUGCUUGGUGUUGGGCGUCUUUUUGUCUCUCCCCUUGUUGGGGGAGACUCGCCUUAAAACGAUUGGCAGUCGACCUACUGGUUUUCGGAGCGCAGCACAAAUUUGCGCCUUCCAAUCCACGGGGCGGCAUCCAGCAAGCCUUUGUUUUCUAUAACAAAUCCACAUUUUGACCUCGGAUCAGGUAGGGAUACCCGCUGAACUUAAGC
rnacentral:misc_RNA from 1 species